rnacentral:rRNA from 1 species
AUUGAACGCUGGCGGCAGGCCUAACACAUGCAAGUCGAGCGAGCGGCGGACGGGUGAUUAAUGUAUGGGGAUCUGCCUGAUGGAGGGGGAUAACUACUGGAAACGGUAGCUAAUACCGAAUACCAUCAGAUGACCCCAUAUGGGAUUAGCUUGUAGGUGAGGUAACGGCUCACCUAGGCGACGAUUCCUAGCUGGUCUGAGAGGAUGAUCAGCAACACGGCGACUGAGACACGCGCCAGACUUCUACGGGAGGCAGCGGUGGGGAACAUUGCACAAGGGGCGGAAGCCUGAAGCAGCCAUGCCGCGUGUACGAAGAAGGGCUGCGGGUUGUAAAGUACGUUCAGUCGGGAGGCGUUACCGAAAGAAGAAGCACCGGCUAACUCCGUGCCAGCAGCCGCGGUAAUAC